UACGGGGGGGGCAAGCGUUGUUCGGAAUUACUGGGCGUAAAGGGCUCGUAGGCGGCCAACUAAGUCAGACGUGAAAUCCCUCGGCUUAACCGAGGAACUGCGUCUGAUACUGGAUGGCUUGAAUCCGGGAGAGGGAUGUGGAAUUCCAGGUGUAGCGGUGAAAUGCGUAGAUAUCUGGAGGAACACCGGUGGCGAAGGCGGCAUCCUGGACCGGUAUUGACGCUGAGUGAGCGAAAGCCAGGGGAGCAAACGGG
rnacentral:rRNA from 1 species